GAUCAUGGCUCAGGACGAACGCUGGCGGCGUGCCUAAUACAUGCAAGUGGGACGCAAGGAAACACACUGUGCUUGCACACCGUGUUUUCUUGAGUCGCGAACGGGUGAGUAACGCGUAGGUAACCUGCCUAUUAGCGGGGGAUAACUAUUGGAAACGAUAGCUAAUACCGCAUAAUAUUAAUUAUUGCAUGAUAAUUGAUUGAAAGAUGCAAGCGCAUC
rnacentral:rRNA from 1 species